rnacentral:rRNA from 1 species
ACGCUGGCGGCGUGCCUAAUACAUGCAAGUAGAACGCUGAAGAGAGGAGCUUGCUCUUCUUGGAUGAGUUGCGAACGGGUGAGUAACGCGUAGGUAACCUGCCUUGUAGCGGGGGAUAACUAUUGGAAACGAUAGCUAAUACCGCAUAACAAUGGAUGACACAUGUCAUUUAUUUGAAAGGGGCAAUUGCUCCACUACAAGAUGGACCUGCGUUGUAUUAGCUAGUAGGUGAGGUAACGGCUCACCUAGGCGACGAUACAUAGCCGACCUGAGAGGGUGAUCGGCCACACUGGGACUGAGACACGGCCCAGACUCCUACGGGAGGCAGCAGUAGGGAAUCUUCGGCAAUGGGGGCAACCCUGACCGAGCAACGCCGCGUGAGUGAAGAAGGUUUUCGGAUCGUAAAGCUCUGUUGUAAGUCAAGAACGAGUGUGAGAGUGGAAAGUUCACACUGUGACGGUAGCUUACCAGAAAGGGACGGCUAACUACGUGCCAGCAGCCGCGGUAAUACGUAGGUCCCGAGCGUUGUCCGGAUUUAUUGGGCGUAAAGCGAGCGCAGGCGGUUUGAUAAGUCUGAAGUUAAAGGCUGUGGCUCAACCAUAGUUCGCUUUGGAAACUGUCAAACUUGAGUGCAGAAGGGGAGAGUGGAAUUCCAUGUGUAGCGGUGAAAUGCGUAGAUAUAUGGAGGAACACCGGUGGCGAAAGCGGCUCUCUGGUCUGUAACUGACGCUGAGGCUCGAAAGCGUGGGGAGCGAACAGGAUUAGAUACCCUGGUAGUCCACGCCGUAAACGAUGAGUGCUAGGUGUUGGAUCCUUUCCGGGAUUCAGUGCCGCAGCUAACGCAUUAAGCACUCCGCCUGGGGAGUACGACCGCAAGGUUGAAACUCAAAGGAAUUGACCGGGGGCCCGCACAAGCGG